CAGUCGCCACGGGAAUACGUAGGGUGCGAGCGUUAAUCGGAUUUACUGGGCGUAAAGCGUGCGCAGGCGGCCCGUUAAGGCAGGUGUGAAAUCCCUGGGCUCAACCUAGGAAUUGCGCUUGUGACUGGCGGGCUCGAGUACGGUAGAGGGGGGUGGAAUUCCUGGUGUAGCAGUGAAAUGCGUAGAGAUCAGGAGGAACACCGAUGGCGAAGGCAGCCCCCUGGGCCUGUACUGACGCUCAUGCACGAAAGCGUGGGGAGCGAACAGGAUUAGAUACCCCCGUAGUCCCUGUCUCUUAUAC
rnacentral:rRNA from 1 species